rnacentral:lncRNA from 1 species
GAAUGACACUUGCUAAUUUGAAUUUCAGAACACACCUAAACCGCAUUCUGAUCUCCAGAUGCCACAUAUGAGUGUCCAGAGGCUGCAUCAGUGAAAAAGAAAGAAUUUAUCAUACUUAAAGGCUGAUCAUGCAGCAGAAUUACUUCGGACAGGCAUCUGAACCAAGAAAGGUAGGAGGAUGUGGAAAGAAUACCACCUGGG